rnacentral:rRNA from 1 species
AACGAACGCUGGCGGCGCGCCUAAUACAUGCAAGUCGAGCGAGAAGACGUAGCAAUACGUUUGUAAAGCGGCGAACGGGUGAGGAAUACAUGGGUAACCUACCCUCGAGUGGGGAAUAACUAGCCGAAAGGUUAGCUAAUACCGCGUACGCUCCUCGGACUUCGGUUCAGGGAGGAAAGCGAUACCGUGGGUAUCGCGCUCUUGGAUGGGCUCAUGUCCUAUCAGCUUGUUGGUGAGGUAACGGCUCACCAAGGCUUCGACGGGUAGCUGGUCUGAGAGGACGAUCAGCCACACUGGCACUGCGACACGAGCCAGACUCCUACGGGAGGCAGCAGUAAGGAAUAUUGCGCAAUGGGCGAAAGCCUGACGCAGCGACGCCGCGUGGGGGAUGAAGGUCUUCGGAUUGUAAACCCCUUUCGGGAGGGAAGAUGGAACGAGCAAUCGUUCGGACGGUACCUCCAGAAGCAGCCACGGCUAACUUCGUGCCAGCAGCCGCUGUAAC